rnacentral:rRNA from 1 species
GAUGAACGCUGGCGGCGUGCCUAAUACAUGCAAGUCGAGCGAACAGAUGAGGAGCUUGCUCCUCUGACGUUAGCGGCGGACGGGUGAGUAACACGUGGAUAACCUACCUAUAAGACUGGGAUAACUUCGGGAAACCGGAGCUAAUACCGGAUAAUAUAUGGAACCGCAUGGUUCAAUAGUGAAAGACGGUUUUGCUGUCACUUAUAGAUGGAUCCGCGCCGCAUUAGCUAGUUGGUAAGGUAACGGCUUACCAAGGCAACGAUGCGUAGCCGACCUGAGAGGGUGAGCGGCCACACUGGAACUGAGACACGGUCCAGACUCCUACGGGAGGCAGCAGUAGGGAAUCUUCCGCAAGGGGCGAAAGCCUGACGGAGCCACGCCGCGGGAGUGAUGAAGGUCUUCGGAUCGUAAAACUCUGUUAUUAGGGAAGAACAAAUGUGUAAGUAACUAUGCACGUCUUGACGGUACCUAAUCAGAAAGCAACGGCUAACUACGU